AUUGACGGAAGGGCACCACCAGGAGUGGAGCCUGCGGCUUAAUUUGACUCAACGCGGGGAAACUCACCAGGUCCAGACACAAGGGGGAUUGACAGAUUGACAGCUCUUUCUUGAUUCUGUGGGUGGUGGUGCAUGGCCGUUCUUAGUUGGUGGAGUGGUUUGUCUGGUUGAUUCCGAUGACGAACGAGACCUUAACCUGCCAAAUAGUUACAUGUAAUUACGGUUGUGUGGGCAACUUCUUAGAGGGACUUUGUGUGCCUAGCACGAGGAAGUGUGAGGCAAUAACAGGUCUGUGAUGCCCUUAGAUGUUCUGGGCUGCACGCGUGCUACACUGAUGCACCCAGAGAGUGUCCUAUCUUCCCUGGAGAGGUUGGUCAAUCUGCCAACCUGUGUCGUGAUGGGGAUGGAUCAUUGCAACUAUUGCUCCUGAACGAGGAAUUCCUAGUAAAAGCAGGUCAUCAACUUGCAUUGAUUGUGUCCCUGCCCUUUGUACACACCGCCCGUCGCUCCUACCGAUUGAGUGGUCCGGUGAAUAGUUUGGACCUGAGCAUCCAGUCGUGGAGCAGCACAAUCAGAAAUUCAGUGAACCUUAGCACUUAGAGGAAGGAGAAGUCGUAACAAGGUUUCUGUAGGUGAACCUGCAGAAGGAUCA
rnacentral:rRNA from 1 species